AGAAAUAUUGAUUUUAAAUUUUGGCAUAAGGCCAGAAAUUUCAGGGGAGAGUAUAAGUCGAUUAAUUCAACCCCAAGGUUCAUCUGGUACUUAUUUUAUCAACCCCAAAAGGAUGAAAGGUAAAGUCGACUACAGCAGAAUUUGAACUCAGACUGUAAAGACAGAUGAAAUGUUGCUAA